UACGGAGGGUGCGAGCGUUGUCCGGAAUCAUUGGGCGUAAAGGGCGCGUAGGUGGCCUGGUCAGUCUUUGGUGAAAGCGCGGGGCUCAACCCUGCGUCGGCCAGGGAUACUGCCGCGGCUCGAGCACUGUAGAGGCAGGCGGAAUUCCGGGUGUAGCGGUGGAAUGCGUAGAGAUCCGGAAGAACACCGGUGGCGAAGGCGGCCUGCUGGGCAGUUUGGCUGACACUGAGGCGCGACAGCGUGGGGAGCAAACAGG
rnacentral:rRNA from 1 species